CAGAGCUUUCACUCUAGCAUCUGAAAAAGGAACCAACUCCUGCUAAAUCUUGAGAAUUGACACAUUGAAGCCUUAUCUUCAGACUCUGAAAAAGGCUGGAAGCUUAUCAUGGGCCUGGAUCUUGUGCUAUUCAAAUGUUUUCACCGAUGCCUACAACUGUAUUUGGCACAUAGAAGUAAGUAAAUGAAUGCCAAAAGAAAGAAUCAGUUUGUUCUCCUACAUAGUGUAACAGAUACUGGGAAUUGACUUGCUUAGUGUGCAUUGAGGAAAAGUAACAUGACUGUGUCAUAUAAGUGGAAAUGUGACCUUUUGGAAGCAUGAUGGCCAUGACAUUCUAUUUUUGUGGGAAAGCUUUGGUAAAUUUCUGUUACCCAGUCCCAAAUGUUAUAUGUCCAGAGCAGCAGGGGUAGAACAGUGGUGUUCUGAAUUGUGCUUGGACAC
rnacentral:lncRNA from 10 species